AUGAACGCUGGCGGCGUGCCUAAUACCUGCAAGUCGAGCGAACAGACGAGGAGCUUGCUCCUCUGACGUUAGCGGCGGACGGGUGAGUAACACGUGGAUAACCUACCUAUAAGACUGGGAUAACUUCGGGAAACCGGAGCUAAUACCGGAUAAUAUAUUGAACCGCAUGGUUCAAUAGUGAAAGACGGUUUUGCUGUCACUUAUAGAUGGAUCCGCGCCGCAUUAGCUAGUUGGUAAGGUAACGGCUUACCAAGGCGACGAUGCGUAGCCGACCUGAGAGGGUGAUCGGCCACACUGGAACUGAGACACGGUCCAGACUCCUACGGGAGGCAGCAGUAGGGAAUCUUCCGCAAUGGGCGAAAGCCUGACGGAGCAACGCCGCGUGAGUGGUGAAGGUCUUCGGAUCGUAAAACUCUGUUAUUAGGGAAGAACAAAUGUGUAAGUAACUAUGCACGUCUUGACGGUACCUAAUCAGAAAGCCACGGCUAACUACGUG
rnacentral:rRNA from 1 species